CUGUCCCCAGAGCUGUGCCACUCCAGCACCAACAUUCCCAGGCUUCAACUGGCAGCCUCUGCUUGAAGUGGACACACAGGAAGGGUAUUCCACGAUGGGCAGCUGCCUGUAGUGAAGGGGACUCACCAAGAACUACUCAAAGACAAGGAAAUUGAGACAAGAAGAACUGAAGUAUCUUCCACAAACAACACAGAAGGGCUCUGAAAGACAGCAUUAAGGAAGCUUGGUGCACAGAUGCUGCUACUACUCAGGAAGAACAGAGUCCAGCAUGUUAGAGACCAGGUACAUUGGGAGCAUCUGGCUUUUGAA
rnacentral:lncRNA from 1 species